rnacentral:lncRNA from 1 species
ACAAGCUAAGUGAAAUUAACAUAUACUUGCAAACAUGUGGAGAAUAGAAGAAAUUGUGUAUGAAGAAAUCCUUACAAAAGGAUAAAUUAACUUUAAAAGAAAUUGUAAAUUGAUUUGAUAAAUGAAGAACUUUCCAAUGUUUGCUUUAUUAANUUUAGNAAAUUUAGUUUUGCUGAAACAGUUAAAAAUAGUUUUGUAAAUAGUUUUAAUAUACUACUUAAUAUUAAGUAAACUAUUUAAUAGUUUGAUAUGCUAAAUUAAAGCUUUGGGUUCAAAGAGCAAUACAUUGUAUAUUAGCCAGUGGUUGCUGCAUCCUUCUAUAUUAGAUUGUACUGAGUGCUGAUUUUUAUCACAAAGGUGCCUGUGACUGGUAACUUUCGCCUCAAGAAAUUUAAUGAAUCCAGUCUUAUGCCUCACAAAAUUUAAUAAAUAUUUAGUAAAAACUUUUAAAGUGAUUAUUNAUGAGGUAUUAAAGUAUAUUUUGUAAGGAACACCAUUGUGUUUGAGUAGGAUGAAAUUGGGACAGUGUGAUUACAAUAGAAGGAAAUAGCAAAAGUGUUGUUAGCAUUAAUUAGGAAGUGUAUAAUAAUGAAAACUUGAAGAAUAGUUUAAUGGAGAAUUUGUUUGUUUAAACCCAGAAGAUUAUGGUUGGUAUACAAAUAGAGGCUCCUGGAUUCAAGAGGGGGAGAAAGGAAACGGCUUUUGCAGCAUGAAAUCAAUUAACAGGAAAGGAGUUGAGAGAGAAAAUACAGGAGAACUUAGAGCACAAGAUGCAAAAAGUUAAAGCAGCUUUAGCAGUCUUAAAAUUAGAAAAGGCUGAUCAUAGAAUAAAUUACAAUGAGAAAAGGAGGCUUCUUGGCUUAUGAACUUCUGUUUUUAUGUAUUUUAUGUCUUGAGACCUCAGGGUACAGGGUGGGAUGGAAAUGCAAUAAAUAAACAAGCAUCAAGCAAACGGGAAAUUCUGUUUGAAACUACAAUGAGACUGGAGUUUCCUGAGGAAUUUAUUCAACAGAAAGGGUUGGAAAAACGGCAGGGACUUUUCAUUGAACGACAAUGGAAUUUGGAACUUUACAGUUUGGAACGCAGAUCUGGUGGGACAAAGGCUACAUUGUUUUGUGAUGCACAUCCCAUGCCAUUUGUAAAAGCUGAGAAUUUCUGGAUGCCUACAUUCUAUUCGAAGAAGGUUUUAUGUCAUGGACUCGGCGUGUAUCCUAUAAAUGUAAAGGUGGAUGUCUUUCGUUGUGAGACAUGGGAAUUGGGAUUGGUAUGUCCUGAGAAUUAUGAACUAAUGGAACCUUGUGCUUUUAAUUUACAAGAUGGUAUUUGUCAUUUACAGAAGAUGCACAAUAGACAUAUUUGAUAGAUACUGGCAUUGGUUGUUUAU